GUUUUAGGGAAAGAACCAAGUGCCAAGGAGUAACCUGCUUGGCACCUUGACCGCUACCUAACCCAGAAAGCCCAUGGUCUAAGUUACGUGACCAGCCAGUCUGCUGUUAAUUUCGUAGGGUGGCCAAGCCGUGUCCCGGAAAUUAUUUGGGCGUAAAAGGCUCGCAGGCGGUUUUCUUUAAGUCUUGAUGUGAAAGGCGCCCCGGCUUCAAACUGGGGGAGGGUUCAUUGGAAAACUGGGAAAACUUGAGUGCAGAAGAGGGAGAUUUGAAUUUCCACGCAACCGGUGAAAGUGCGUAGAGAUGUGGAGGAACCCCCAGUGGCGAAGGCGACUCUCUGGUCCGUAACUGACGCUGAGGAGCGAAAGCGUGGGGAGCGAACAUGAUUAGCUACCCUGGUCGUCCACGUCGUAAACGAUGAGUGUUAAGUGUUAGGGGGUUUCCGCCCUUUAGUGCUGCAGCUAACGCACUAAGCACUCCGCCUGGGGAGUACGGUCGCAAGACCGAAACUCAAAGGAAUUGACGGGGGGCCGCACAAGCGGUGGAGCAUGUGGUUUAAUUCGAACCAACGCGAAGAACCUUACCAGGUCUUGACAUCCUAUGACAACCCUAGAGAUAGGGCUUUCCCUUCGGGGACAGAGUGACAGGUGGUGCAUGGUUGUCGUCAGCUCGCGUCGUGAGAUGCUGGGUUUAGUCCCGCAACGAGCGCAACCCUUGAUCUUAGUUGCCAGCAUUCAGUUGGGCACUCUAAGGUGACUGCCGGUGACAAACCGGAGGAAGGUGGGGAUGACGUCAAAUCAUCAUGCCCCUUAUGACCUGGGCUACACACGUGCUACAAUGGACAGAACAAAGGGCUGCGAGACCGCAAGGUUUAGCCAAUCCCACAAAUCUGUUCUCAGUUCGGAUCGCAGUCUGCAACUCGACUGCGUGAAGCUGGAAUCGCUAGUAAUCGCGGAUCAGCAUGCCGCGGUGAAUACGUUCCCGGGCCUUGUACACACCGCCCGUCACACCACGAGAGUUUGCAACACCCGAAGUCGGUGAGGUAACCUUUAUGGAGCCAGCCGCCGAAGGUGGGGCAGAUGAUUGGGGUGAAGUCGUAACAAGGUUGCCUCCCC
rnacentral:rRNA from 1 species